rnacentral:rRNA from 1 species
CUGCAUGGCGUGUCGUCAGCUCGUGCUGGUGAAGUGUUGGGUUAAGUCCCAUAACGAGCGCAACCCCUACCUUUAGUUGCCAUCAGGUUAAGCUGGGGACUCUAAAGGAACUGCCUACGCAAGUAGUGAGGAAGGCGGGGAUGACGUCAAAUCAGCACGGCCCUUACGUCCAGGGCUACACACGUGCUACAAUGGCCGAUACAGAGGGCAGCUACCUGGUGACAGGAUGCAAAUCUCCAAAGUCGGUCUCAGUUCGGAUCGGAGUCUGCAACCCGACUCCGUGAAGUUGGAUUCGCUAGUAAUCGCGCAUCAGCCAUGGCGCGGUGAAUACGUUCCCGGGCCUU